rnacentral:rRNA from 1 species
AUUCCGAGUGUAAAACUCCCAAAACCAUUGUUUUACCUACCACUGUUGCUUCGGCGGCCUCUCCCCGGGCGCGUUCGCGCGGCCCGGACCCAGGCGUCCGCCGGAGGCUCCAAACUCUUGUCUUUUAGUGUAUUUCUGAGUGGCAUAAGCAAAUAAAUCAAAACUUUCAGCAACGGAUCUCUUGGUUCUGGCAUCGAUGAAGAACGCAGCAAAAUGCGAUAAGUAAUGUGAAUUGCAGAAUUCAGUGAAUCAUCGAAUCUUUGAACGCACAUUGCGCCCGCCAGUAUUCUGGCGGGCAUGCCUGUCUGAGCGUCAUUUCAACCCUCAGGACCCGUUCGCGGGACCUGGCGUUGGGGAUCAGCCUGCCCCUGGCGGCGGCUGGCCCUGAAAUCCAGUGGCGGUUCCCUCGCGAACUCCUCCGUGCAGUAAUUAAACCUCUCGCGGCAGGAUAGCGGUUGAACCACGCCGUUAAACCCCCCACUUCUCAAGGUUGACCUCAGAUCAGGUAGGAAUACCCGCUGAACUUAAGCAUAUCAUAAAGCGGAGGA